AAUAAGUACAGUUUUAUACUAUUUACGUUCAAGAUUUGAUCAUUCGUCUUAUUUGAAAAAUAAAAUUAGUAUUUUUAUUGCUAUUAGAUGAUAAAACAUGAAUAGUACUUGAUGUGUGACUAAAUAUUUUUAAAUUUUUCACAAAUUUUAUAAAUAAGACGGACGGUCAAACGUUGGGCACGGAUAUCCACGGCUGCACUUAUU
rfam:Oryza rufipogon genomic scaffold, chr11